rnacentral:rRNA from 1 species
CCGGGUAGUGAAAAACUGAAGGUGGUAUGGGGAUGGGCCCGCGUCUGAUUAGGUAGUUGGUGCGGUAACGGCGCACCAAGCCCGCGAUCAGUAGCCGACCUGAGAGGGUGACCGGGCCACAUUGGGACUGAGACACGGCCCAAACUCCUACGGGAGGCAGCAGUGGGGAAUAUUGCACAAUGGGGGAAACCCUGACGGAGCAAGACCGCGUGGGGGAAGAAGGCUCUUGGGUUGUAAACCCCUUUUCUCUGGGAAGAAAGUUGUGAAAGCAACCUGACGGUACCAGAGGAAUCAGCAUCGGCUAACUCCGUGCCAGCAGCCGCGGUAAGACGGAGGAUGCAAGCGUUGUCCGGAAUGAUUGGGCGUAAAGCGUCCGCAGGUGGCAGUUCAAGUCUGCUGUCAAAGACCGGGGCUUAACUUCGGAAAGGCAGUGGAAACUGAACAGCUAGAGUAUGGUAGGGGCAGAGGGAAUUCCUGGUGUAGCGGUGAAAUGCGUAGAGAUCAGGAAGAACAUCGGUGGCGAAGGCGCUCUGCUGGACCAUAACUGACACU